GAUGAAGAACGCAGCGAAAUGCGAUAAGUAAUGCGAAUUGCAGAAUUCCAGUGAGUCAUCGAAUCUUUGAACGCACAUUGCGCCCUUUGGUAUUCCGAAGGGCAUGCCUGUUCGAGCGUCAUUAUCACCCCUCAAGCCCUCGGCUUGGUGUUGGACGGUUUGGUGGAGGCCCCCUCGGGGGUUCCUGCCCCUCCCAAAGACAAUGACGGCGGCCUCGUUGGACCCCCGGUACACUGAGUUCUUCACGGGACACGUAUCGGACACAUGGGUUUACGGGACACGGUCUGCCUCCCCUCAGGGAGAAUCUUUCUAAGGUUGACCCCGGAUCAGGUAGGGAUACCCGCUGAACUUAAGCAUAUCAAUAAGCGGAGGA
rnacentral:misc_RNA from 1 species